rnacentral:lncRNA from 1 species
UUAAUUUAAGAUCGUAGCUAGCAUCAUUUGUACAGAACACAUGAGAGAAAUUUGCACCUUGCAAAUAAUACAUAACAAUAGCACUCACUCAAAAGUAGCUGGCUUUAAAGGAUGAAAACAACAAAGCAAAUAUGAGUAGAGCACUAACAAUUUUUAAAGCUAAAAUAACAGCAAAAUAUAGUGCACUAACGUACUCACAACACCCGC